UUUUUUUUUUUUUUUUUGAGACAGAGUGUCGCUCUUUCACCCAGGCUGGCAUGCAAUGGCACAGUCUCGGCUCACUGCAACCUCCACCUCCCAGGUUCAAGCGAUUGUCCUGCCUCAGCCUACCAAGUAGCUGGGAUUACAGGCCUGGGCCACCACAUCCAGCUAGUUUUUGCCUUUUUUUUUUUUUUAAUAGACAUGGGAUUUCGCCAUAUUGGCCAGGCUGGUCUCAAACUCCUGACCUCAGGUGACCCACCCACUCACCUUCUUUUAUGUAAUAUUAAACCAGAGAGAUUUUUUAAGAGGUCAUCUAGCAUGAUAGGUAAGAUAAGGUGCCUCACAUCUCGCUCUAUCAUUUCCAUGCUGUUUAAAUUACUUGAGUUCUACGUGCUUUAGUUCCUCUUCUGUAAAUUAAGAAUAAAAGUAGUAUCUACUUCAUAUAGAUUAAUAAUUUAAAUGAGGAAGUAUGAAUAUAAUGUUCAUAUAAAAAUCUUAGAAAAGGGUCUGACACAUGAGAUACCCAGUAAAUAUAAGCCAGUGUUGUGAUAAACUAUUAAACUAUCUGAUUAUAUCCUUUUUUUCUAGAUUCUAUAUUAGGCUUGCUUGAAUUUUCUAAUCCUAUUAAACUAAUUUUGUAGGAUGAACUAGAAAAAAGACAUAUACAAGUAACAUGAUUCUCAUUGCUACAACCACAUAAACCAUCGUAGAAAAGGUAGCCUGGCCCACAAGUUGUUCUUAUCAGACAGCUAGAAUCAUCUUUAAUACCUCCUUCACACUCUCACCUUUUCCAUUUAGAAAACAAAUCCUGUGUAUUCUACCUCUAGACAAUAUUUUAAUUCCUUAUAUCUCUCUAUCUCCCCUGCUGCCACCAAACUACCUCAAGCUACCGUCGUUUCUCAUCUGGUCUAUUUAGAGAUUGUGUUCGGUACUCAUUUGCAGACCAUUGCUUUUUGAAUAAACCACAUAAUCCUUAUAUUCUACACUUGCUUGAAUGAACGGGCCUCAUCUAUGCUCCAGGUUCAUCUCCCACCUCCUCCCACUCCCCACAGGCCUCUUCACUCACAAGACCCCAGCAGAAGACUUUCCUUCUGCUCCUGGAACAACCUGAGUGCCUAGCCAUUUUCAUGCACCUGGAAUAUCCUUUUUUACCUUCUUUGCUUGGGCUCAAUCUUCAGGUUUUAGUCUACUCAUGUCUUUCUCAAGGAAGCAUUUCCUGAAUGUGUGGACCACAUUAUGUGUUCCCAU
rnacentral:lncRNA from 1 species